rnacentral:rRNA from 1 species
UGAUCCAGCCAUUCCGCGUGAGUGAAGAAGGCCUUCGGGUUGUAAAGCUCUUUCGGCAGGGACGAAACGGCGAGCUCUAACAUAGCUCGCUAAUGACGGUACCUGAAGAAGAAGCACCGGCUAACUACGUGCCAGCAGCCGCGGUAAUACGUAGGGUGCGAGCGUUAAUCGGAAUUACUGGGCGUAAAGCGUGCGCAGGCGGUUGUGUAAGACAGGUGUGAAAUCCCCGGGCUUAACCUGGGAACUGCGCUUGUGACUGCACGGCUAGAGUAUGGCAGAGGGGGGUGGAAUUCCACGUGUAGCAGUGAAAUGCGUAGAGAUGUGGAGGAACACCGAUGGCGAAGGCAGCCCCCUGGGCCAAUACUGACGCUCAUGCACGAAAGCGUGGGGAGCAAACAGGAUUAGAUACCCUGGUAGUCCACGCCCUAAACGAUGUCGACUAGGUGUUCGGUGAGGAGACUCAUUGAGUACCGCAGCUAACGCGUGAAGUCGACCGCCUGGGGA